rnacentral:rRNA from 1 species
UACAGAGGGGGCAAGCGUUAUUCGGAAUUAUUGGGCGUAAAGGGCGCGUAGGCGGCUUGGCAAGUGGAUGGUGAAAUCCCUCGGCUUAACCGAGGAACUGCCAUCCAGACUGCUUUGCUUGAGGCCGGGAGAGGUGAGUGGAAUUCCCAGUGUAGCGGUGAAAUGCGUAGAUAUUGUCAAGAACACCUAUUGCGAAGGCAGCUUACUAAGCUGUAACUGACGCUGAGGCACGAAAGCGUGGGGAUCAAACAGG